rnacentral:lncRNA from 1 species
GUCUUUACACUGCACUAGAUCGGGACACACCUCCCUCUCCCCACUUAGGGUGUGUUCGGAAAUACUAACCGCUACGACCGGUGAAACCGGAGAGUUACCGAUCUUCAAUCAAAAUAACGGAAACUUCACGGUGACUCCUCGGUUGCAACCGCUCUCACCGGCUUUUGAGCUCGGUUGCAGGUGACGUCAACGUACCAAGAUGGCUGACACAGUUAUUUUUCAGUGCGAGAAGUGUGAUUAUAAAUCAUUUAACUUUGAAAAUGUGAAAUCUCAUCUGUUUCAAGAACAUAUAAUAAAUACCACGUCGUCUUCAAAUUCCGUACCUCGGGAGAUAAUUGAUAUCAAUUGUUUAUCGGCUGCCAUCUUGUUGAAUGUAACCGAUUUUCUAUUCUCGUACUCAUAAAUAAACCUGGAACGAAGAUUACCGAUGACGUAUGUCACCGCAACCGUACUAACUGACCGGUUAGUAUUUCCGAACACACCCUUAGAAACGAUUUCUAAGUGACGUCAUGGC